rnacentral:rRNA from 1 species
AUUGAACGCUGGCGGCAGGCUUAACACAUGCAAGUCGAGCGAGCGGCGGACGGGUGAGUAAUGUCUGGGAAACUGCCUGAUGGAGGGGGAUAACUACUGGAAACGGUAGCUAAUACCGCAUACCAUCAGAUGUGCCCAGAUGGGAUUAGCUAGUAGGUGGGGUAAUGGCUCACCUAGGCGACGAUCCCUAGCUGGUCUGAGAGGAUGACCGGCCACACCGGAACUGAGAAACGGGCCAAGCUCCUACGGGAGGCAGCAGGGGGGAAAAUUGGACAAGUGGCGCAAACCUGAUGGCACCCUGCCGGGUGUGUGAAAAAGGCCUUCGGGUUGGAAAGGACUUUCAGCGAGGAGGAGUUAAUCGCAGAAGAAGGACCGGGUAACUCCCUGCCAGCAGCCGCGGUAAUAC